UAUAAUAAAAACAAAUUAUUACACAUUACAUUUAAUUUUGAUUACACAUCGAGUCUUCUGUAGCUUAUACGUAAGUUAAUACAAAGUACAUGCGAAGUACAUGCGAUAAAGGUUCGUGAAGUAUUAUAGAUGAUUACAUUUGUACUCCUAACUCUGCAUCCCCAUACAAUUUAAACUUAAUAAUAGUAAUUAAGAACUCAGGGACAGAAUAACAUCUCUUCUAUCGUCAUCGAUGCCUUUUGUCGACAUGAAAAUGAAGUUUACGUUGCAAUUAUAUCGCAACCUUAUCAUUCGACGGAAUUGAGGAAAAUUAAUUCCAACAUAUUGUAGCGUUCCCAGGAAAUAAGACAUACAUUUUCACGAAAGCGUUUAUUCUAAAACUGUCAUCUCAACAAUCUCUAACUGAAAGAUGAUUGGCAGAAAUUAAGAGGAUUAUAUGUUAAUAAUAGCAAAGUAGAGAUCAGAGUUUAAACGAUGACUCAAGUAUCAAGUUAAAAAAAGCUACAGUUAUUAAAAACCAGAUGUUCACGGAGGUCACUUGGAAUCAUCAGGUGCACAUAUAUCAAGGAACGGGUUCAUCGCAAUAACGAUAUCUAUGCUGUAAAUAUGCCUGGAGAUCUAUUCUUUGUAAAGAGAUCAAUGUGAACAUUCAUCGCGUUUACGAACUAGACUGAAAAGCGAAUUAAGAAAAAAGUGAAACAGAAAUUUUGAUUAUGCAGUGCCAGUGCCAGUAUUUAAUAAUCAUUAAUUCAAAUUAAAGCUAUAAGAAUCUAAAUAACAUCUUUUAAACUUUACACGAUUUUCUAGAUUUUCACGAAACUUGCUAUUCAUAGUUACCUUACAAUGACAUGUAUCCGGUUACAAAGAAUUUUUCGCAUAAAUAAUUGAAUUUCGUUUAUGUUUGUGCUAAAUUGUAUUUGAUCCAUUUAUACAUUAUGUCAGUACAUUUCUUCAAUUGAUAAGAAUAAUCGUCAAGUAAUCAGAAUGAUGAUAGUGACCUGUAAUAUACAGUUUGAAUAUUUAUGUAUGUAGACUCAUUACUCUUUUACGAUUAUGUGUGUGCAUACGCAUGUGUUUGUGUGUGUGGUACAUAUAUCUCAAUCUCCUUGCAGGCUUAUAAAUAUUGAGAACAAAACAAAAUGAAAUUUGGUUGAAAGUACUAAAAACUUAGACGAUUCUAUCAUACAUUACUGUGCUAUCGCACAAACAAGAAGAAAUAAUAAAAAUGGAGCUUCAGGAAAAAUCACCUUUCACUCAGAAAAAUCCUAUUUACGAUAGUAUCCCUCUUAUUAUUAUUGAUAAGAUGGGAAAAGAAUGUUUCAAAGAUAAAACGGAAAAUAUAAAAUAUUAUGUUUCUAAUCCAUUUUGGAUGAAAUUUCGAUUAUUAUUAUUUUGGACAUUGUGGGCCAUAUUAAUAAUGGCGAUGAUAAUUUCUUUUUUCAUUUACUUUUGUUUUACGCCUCGAAUAUGCCUCAGUUCAAGUAUCCAUAGAAAUAUGCACAAAUAAUAAAUGCAUUCUUUCAUAAAGUGCAAUGGAACGGCGUAUUAUAAUAACUUGAAUUAUUAUAUAUUUGUAUCAUAUAUUCAUAUUUCAAAUAACAAUAUUGUCAAAAUUAUUAAUAAUGUAACGAGCAACAAGACAAUAAUGUAUUUAAAAUAAGUAUUAUUUUUAAAAAAUUAAUUGUUUAUUCUCAUUAUGCAUAUAUUGUUAUAAAUAUUAUAUAUAAAUAUAUAAAUAUUAUAGAUAUUAACAA
rnacentral:lncRNA from 1 species